AUAGAGUUUUCUUCUUUGGAUUUCUUACUACUUCUUGAUCUUGUGUUAGGUCCACGUAUUAAUGCUUCACUGAAUCGUGGCCUCUGUUGGAUAAGACUUAGUUGGGCGUUUUCUUCUUCCGGUCCCUCUUCUUGUUCGUCUUUUCUAUUGGUUGUGCUUCAGGAGGAUUGCUUUGCGAUGGAUCUUGUGCUUCUUUGUCGCAACUUGCUGUCCCUUCUGCUGUUGCAUUUUCUGUGCCAGCAAAUCCGUCAAAUAAAGUCUUUUUACAAGAUUUUUUUGUAGAUUCUGGCGUUAAGUCUUUAAUUGUUUGUUC